UAGUACUUUCGCUGAUCCAAUGCCGCCGAAGAAUAAGAAGACCGGACGUUUUAGUUCGGCUUGGAAAAAACGAUGGAAUGACGAUGACAGAUGUGUGGCCCGGCCGAUGGCGAAUGACAGACGGAUAAUUUACUGAGGCGUCCAUCUCUGUAAAAGACCUCUUGUGAGUUUUCCCAUUCAGCUCCUUGUUACAUAACAGCCAGUUGUCUAAAAAAAU